UACGUAGGUGGCAAGCGUUGUCCGGAUUUACUGGGUGUAAAGGGCGUGCAGCCGGGCUGACAAGUCAGAUGUGAUAUCCCGCGGCUCAACCGCGGAACUGCAUUUGAAACUGUCAGUCUUGAGUACCGGAGAGGUCAUCGGAAUUCCUUGUGUAGCGGUGAAAUGCGUAGAUAUAAGGAAGAACACCAGUGGCGAAGGCGGAUGACUGGACGGCAACUGACGGUGAGGCGCGAAAGCGUGGGGAGCAAACAGG
rnacentral:rRNA from 1 species